GCUGGCUAAGUAGCGUUGUCGUGAUUGGCUCAUAGUUAGACAGCCGUUAGUAUUUAUUUGAGUAACUGCUGUCAGCGCGUGAACGAUGUGGGUUAUCUUCUACAGCACACAGUGAAACGUCGUGUUCAUGAAGAAACGUAGAGAAAAUGUAAGUAAAGUAUCUGCGGAGUAUCGUAACCAAACUUAAAGUAGAUUUAGCGUUCAGCGGUUCUCUAUGACAAGUGGCUAGCGUUAACGGCGGCUAGCUUGUGAAAGAACACGCUUCUGUUAGCUUCCCGUUUUAGGUUAGCUAUCAAAAAAAUACUUUUAGGAUAUCAGGCAUUAUUGUGAGAGGAUAAACAAACAUGCAAAAAGAGGACAUCAAGAUGGAGUUUUGUCAACGUUAACAAGCUGACACCGAAGUAGUUUACCAGCAAGCUGUGGAGAGCAGACCGGUCUCCUCCAGACUGACAGACUGUGAAGAGCGACUUGUCUCCAUCAGCUGGGAACCUCUGCCGUGCUUGUGUGCGUCUGUCAGCACAGGAGGAGGGUUUCAGGCAUCAUCCUCUGAGGCAUCCUCUUACUGAGCUCACUGGACUAAAGCCUGGGAACGAGACCAACGAUCACCAUUCUCAUCAGGCAAAUGGACCCAGGUGCUCUGAAGCUGAAAUCAGAGCCCCGCUGCACAGCAGGGUGUCAAGUAUUUUUAGACAAAAGCUCUGAGACAAAGCACAGACCUGUACUGACACGUCUCGGGUCUAAUGUUAUUUGUUUUUAUUCUUCACUUGUGAGAAAUAAUCCCUGAAUGAGGUGAACCCGAUGGCCUUUUCUCUAAUUAAAGUUAUGAAUACCUGG